rnacentral:rRNA from 1 species
GACGUAGGGCGCGAGCGUUGUCCGGAUUUAUUGGGCGUAAAGAGCUCGUAGGCGGCUUGUCGCGUCGACUGUGAAAACCCGCGGCUCAACUGCGGGCUUGCAGUCGAUACGGGCAGGCUAGAGUUCGGUAGGGGAGACUGGAAUUCCUGGUGUAGCGGUGAAAUGCGCAGAUAUCGGGAAGAACACCCGUGGCGAAGGCGGCUCUCUGGAACGCAACUGACGCUGAGACGCGAAAGCGUGGGGAGCAAACAGG